UACAUGGGGUGCAAACGUUGCUCGGAAUUAUUGGGCGUAAAGCGCACGUAGGCGGUCGCUUAAGUCGGAUGUGAAAGCCCUCGGCUCAACUGAGGAAGUGCAUCCGAAACUGAGUGGCUAGAGUAUGGGUAGAGGGUCGCGGAAUUCCCGGUGUAGAGGUGAAAUUCGUAGAUAUCGGGAGAACACCAGUGGCGAAGGCGGCGACCUGGGCCAAUACUGACGCUGAGGUGCGAAAGCGUGGGGAACAAACAGG
rnacentral:rRNA from 1 species